ensembl:miRNA Mir5119 microRNA 5119
CAGGGCUGGCCUAUGGGACAGAUACAGUAAGUCAUCUCAUCCUGGAGCUAGGUCUGC